AGAUGAAGGGAACGGGGAGAAACGAACCUUUCGUCGGCCUGUGCUGGAACAUUUCCGAGCAGCCUCCACAUCUAAACACCCGCAGCCUGGCUCGUCUUUACCUUUCAUUCCUUCUCAUAACAAACUUCUUCCUGCCCUCAAAUUACACAUCUACGAACAAUUUUCUGAAGGAAACUUCGUGGGCCCCUUCAGCAGCAAAGGUAAUUGAGAUAUAAGCGACUUUUGCACACAACCUGCUGUGUAUGCUCAAUAUCAGUUUCAUCAUUAAUACCAGAUGCCAGCUAAAUACUGUCACUGUCAUCCUUAAAUAUCCCACCCUCAGCCUGGAGUGCUUAACAAGCAAACAUAGGCCAGGCCCUUAAAAUCAAAGGCAGCUUUGCUGAAGAAGGGAAGUUAUGCUGUAAAAGAUCAGCCCGUUGGUAAGUGAAGUUUGACAUACACAGCCGUAAGCACAAGUAAAGUUCCUUUCAAAUACAGACGCAGCACGGAAGGCACUUACUCAAAAUUAAGCUUGAUGGGCCGGCAGUGCAAUAAAGUAAUUACAAGCCGAGCUGAUGCACUGAUGAUGUCUCAUGCCAGUGCAUCCACUGAAGGCAGAAAGAGUGAAGAAAAGGCAAGAGACAGCUGACAGUUAAACAGACAGAUACAAAGGUAACAUUUAGGUAAGGUAACAAAGAAAUAACUAGAUAUAGCAUUAUUUUGCACCUGGGAAACUUUAAUAUCAGUCUGUAUUUUAAAAAAUUGUAACUGGAUUUUCACGAGUCACAACUGAAUCUGAUCUUUGUGUUCAAGAAAGGAAAUGUCUCCAUCAUGUCCUCUGAUGUCACCCUACAGAGAAGAUUAGAAGAUUAACUGUGUCAGGUGACACUGAUCCAAUGGCAGAGGAAAUAACUUUGCACAUUCAAAGAGAAAAUCAGGGAGAAAUUCCAGCUGUCUGCAAGAAAUAUGAAUCUCACCAGUGAUGAUUGUUGGCUCACAAAGAAAACACUUUAUGCAAAUGUGUUGAUACACAGUAAAUAAAAUAAGAAGAUCAAAGACUUAGAAGAGGAUUUAUCUUAAAGAAGAGUGGAUGGUCUGAAUCUCAGUGGCAUUUUAGUCUCAUCUAAUUUAUAAGCAGUUGCAUCCUCUGGGGAGGAGUUACAGAGGACUGUGAAAACUAUGUGAGGAAAUAGCAAAGCUACAUCUGGAAGGUAAAACUGGCUUCUGAGCUGUGGCAAUUGUUGUGGGCAAUUUCUCCUAAUGUACCAGAUACCAAGAGGGGUCCGUACAUCAGGACCCACCUGCUGUAGCAUUGCAGUGAGAUGUAUUUGCACAAGCAUUCGCAGAUGGCGAGCACAACGGCAGGAGCCUCGCUGUCACCCUUCACUGAUAAAUGCAGGUGGCUGUUCCGUUACAGCUUCUGCAGGAGGCACCGGCACAGAAGGAUAGAGGCAGAGCCUGUUUUCCUAUCGAUACGUGGUGGAGUUUUAUGCACAGCUGCAAUUAGUGUUCCUGGGAGUUCCCUCUGCAAAUGCUCCAGGUGCUAUUGAGCAGUCUCGUGGUGAAUGUAAAAAGCAAAGAAUAAUUACACAGUUAGAUUUGGUCUUGUGGCUUCUCAUUUCAAUGGUGUUUCUGCAAUUUAUUUCAGUGGGAUUAAGACUGAGCCUUUCACAGCUGACUAUAGCUGCAUUUGCUCUGCACAGGUCUGGUGGAAAAAGGAGUGUUGAGCCCUGAAUGUAAAUAUUAUGGUAUCAAGUGGUAGGUUUGAGGAGAAGGUGAGAGUCUUGCAAACCUGAUCUGGCAGCUGCAAAAAUAACAGUCAGGCAAGCAGAUGGUCUCUGCAGUGAGGGAAAUCUUUACAAGAUUCACAAAUUAGCUCUGCCAGGUUUUUAGUGGUUCUUACCAAAAUUCCUAUAAAUCAGCCUAACUGGCUAGGGAGGUGGAGACAAGAGGAAUCAAUAAUUUCCCUAGAUGGCUUGUAAAUCCAAGGUUAACCGACAAAGGCUUGAGAGCUGGAAGAUCCCAAGAGGAAUUAAGAAAGGACAAUAUCAUCCUUUCAAAAGGUAAAAGCCACAGCAUAAUUCAUCUACUAUAAGUGCUUUGGGGACUAAUUGCAGCUGCCCAUGAUCAAGGAUAUCAGUUUGGUGAUAAAGAAAGGUGAGGUGUCAGACACUCUGAAUUAUUGGCUCAUCCUGGGAAUACUGAAACUUUUGAGGAAACAAAAGCUGCCUCCUUCAGCUGCAGGUCAAUAACGCAGAGGGCAGGCUACUGAGAAAUAACACUUUCACCUACUCUUUAGUAUUCAUUUUAACCAGGCCCAAACAAGAUAUUCAUAUAUAAACAAGAACCAGAAAGUCUUGUCUUCAAAUAAAUGACAUCCCAUUUCCAUUCUCAUCUCCAAUACUUCCUAUCUGUUUAGUCCUAUGUAAAGCACAGCAAGAUAUUUUCAUCAACUCAGCUCAAAAUAUACGUUGUUAAAACUGUCACUUACCAACGGUAGCCAUGAACAGGUACCCAAGAGAGCAGAAUUUCAUCCCAUACUUAAAAUAGGAAUAAACUAAACUCCAUGUAAAUGCAGGCCUUUUAAUGGGUCUGGGAGAGCAGCAAACAGCAGGCUGAGUGAUCGUGGCUAGUAACCCCUUCCCUGGCAACCCUGUGCUGUGGAUAACCCCUAUGAUUUGCUCACAGGUUGUCUGCUGUUUUAGGCUUUCUAGAAUGACCAGCAGCAAAGAGGAGGCUUGCCACCAGGGAGGGCAAUCAGUCCUCCAGAUGGGCUUCUCUACCAAAGCAGUUGCUGCCCCAUAGCACUAGGGGAAGGUCUGCCAUGCUGGGAGACAGAAGCACUAAGGAACUGCUAAUAGAGUCAGAGUCGAAUGAGCAGCAUUAGGGAAUCCUGAGUUUUGUACCUUGGUUCAAUAUGAUCCAAUCUACAACCAUUUUCAUUUGCCUCUUUGCAGACGUUGAUCAGUGUUUGACAGAAGGAAUGAUUAGGGAGGAGCUGUCAUUCUUGCUCGUUUGGAGAUGCCUCCUUUGUACAAUAAACAGAGUCUCACAAUUAAUGGAAGCAGUGACCUUGCUAGCAAUUUCUACAAAGAGGACAGGGAUCCACUGGAAUAGUGAAUAAAGCACCAUUUAAGUGACCUCUGUAGGUCACAUUGGGGCUGAGACAUAUUGCUGGAGCCAUAGGAAACCUUGCGUGUGACUGCUUCUGUAUUUCCAAGUGCUUUUCAUCAAAAGCAGGGUUGGAUUUGUUUCAGAUUCCCAUAUAUUGAUGCUCUUUACUCUGCACACCUCCAGGUACCUUGAGGAGAAAUUCAGGGCCUGCUUUGUGUGGUUAGACUCACAGCUCUGGAGGUGUGGGGUGGGAAGGGUGGACUAGACACAAGAGCUGUAGCAUCUCACUGUUGAGUCACGCAGCACCUGGCUGGAAGGCAUUGCAUUGAGUCUCCUAGUAGGAAACACAAGUCCACCACUUCCAGCACAGGGAGGAGGAAAUUCAGGAAGGGGGUGAAGUGACUUUCCUAAAGUCGCUCCGUGAACAGUGGCAAGGUGGCAGUGGAGUCUGGUCCCUGCUCCAUGAUGGGCAAGGGACAAUCAGGGGGUUCACUAAAUCAGGUUGUCAAACUGAAGUGCCACUUGCAAAAAUAAAAAUCUCAGUAAAAAUAAUUUGUUUACUGUUAUCAAAGAAAGGAAAGAGAGAAAAAAAUAUCAUCCCAUGUGUUCAUGAAAAAUGUGAGAAUCUUUAUUUUUCUUCUUUACUGAAAGCCUUGAUGAAUGGAAAAAUAUUUUUGUCCAGCAGGCUGACACUGAGAUGUGCCUUGCACUGGCACCUUGGAUUUUUG